rnacentral:rRNA from 1 species
UACCGAGGUCUCGAGCGUUGUUCGGAUUUAUUGGGCGUAAAGGGUGCGUAGGCGGUGUGGCAAGUCAAGUGUGAAAUCUCGGAGCUUAACUCUGAAACUGCACUUGUUACUGCCGUGCUAGAGGGUUGUAGAGGAGAUCGGAAUUCACGGUGUAGCAGUGAAAUGCGUAGAUAUCGUGAGGAAGACCAGUUGCGAAAGCGGGUCUCUGGGCAAUUCCUGACGCUGAGGCACGAAGGCUAGGGGAGCAAACGGG